GAAAUGUCGGUGAGAGGUGGAUGGUUGGCCUGGAUGAUCUUGGAGGUCUUUUCCAACCUUGGUGAUUCUGUGAUUCUAAGUGAGUGCUGCUUCCAGGUAACCGUUGUGAGGUCACAAGACCAGCAGCAAAGCCACAGUUAAACUACCAAGAGGCAGAUCGGCCCACAGAAGUCCUUUCAAAGCCAAGGUUUACCAUCCACCCUUUAUCCAACAACUACUAAAAGCCUUCACCUCCAAGAACAAACAUUAAGAUAUUCUGUUGGUCACUCAGCACUGAAGUCCGACAGCGGAAGAACUGCAUGACAUGGACCACAGCCCUGUGACAUUACAAGCAUGUAUUACAGCUGCCAGAUGGGCUCAGCUGACUCACGCUCAGGAUCACUCUAAUCAGCAGACAUGAGGUGUCCUUCAAUUGACUGCUUGCAUCCCGCCGCCCUUCACUGCCUUUCAUGCAAUCCAGCCCAAGCACCACAAUGACCUCCAGGCAUGAAGAAUAA